UCCCUAGUACGGCGAGUGAGCGGGAAGAGCUCAAAUUUGAAAUCUGGUGGCCUCAGGUCAUCCGAGUUGUAAUCUAUAGAAGUGUUUUCCGUGCUGGCUCAUGUACAAGUCCCUUGGAACAGGGCGUCAUAGAGGGUGAGAAUCCCGUCCUUGACAUGAACUACCAGUGCUCUGUGAUACAUUUUCAACGAGUCGAGUUGUUUGGGAAUGCAGCUCAAAAUGGGUGGUAAAUUCCAUCUAAAGCUAAAUAUUGGCGAGAGACCGAUAGCGAACAAGUACCGUGAGGGAAAGAUGAAAAGCACUUUGGAAAGAGAGUUAAACAGUAUGUGAAAUUGUUGAAAGGGAAACGAUUGAAGUCAGUCGUGCUCUUUGGAUUCAGCCGGUUCUGCCGGUGUACUUCCUUUGAGUGGGGUCAACAUCAGUUUUGAUCGCUGGAUAAAGGCUGGAGGAACGUAGUACCCUCGGGUAAACUUAUAGCCUCCUGUCACAUACAGUGGUUGGGACUGAGGAACGCAGCACGCCUUUAUGGCCGGGAUUCGUCCACGUACGUGCUUAGGAUGUUGACAUAAUGGCUUUAAACGACCCGUCUUGAACCACGGACCA
rnacentral:rRNA from 1 species